rnacentral:tRNA from 1 species
GCAUUGGUGGUUCAGUGGUAGAAUUUUUACCUUCCAUGUGAGAGACUUGGGCUCAAUUCCCAGGCAGUGCA